GUGCAGCAGUCGCGAAACCUCCGCAAUGCGGGAAACCGCGACGGGGGGACCCCGAGUGCCGUGGCAACGCCACGGCUUUUCCGGAGUGUAAAAAAGCUCCGGGAAUAAGGGCUGGGCAAGGCCGGUGGCAGCCGCCGCGGUAAUACCGGCGGCCCGAGUGGUGGCCGCUAUUAUUGGGCCUAAAGCGUCCGUAGCCGGGCCCGUAAGUCCCUGGCGAAAUCCCACGGCUCAACCGUGGGGCUUGCUGGGGAUACUGCGGGUCUUGGGACCGGGAGAGGCGGGGGGUACCCCUGGGGUAGGGGUGAAAUCCUAUAAUCCCAGGGGGACCGCCAGUGGCGAAGGCGCCCCGCUGGAACGGGUCCGACGGUGAGGGACGAAGGCCAGGGGAGCAAACCGGAUUAGAUACCCCUGUAGU
rnacentral:rRNA from 1 species